UACGUAGGGUGCAAGCGUUAAUCGGAAUUACUGGGCGUAAAGCGUGCGCAGGCGGUUUUGUAAGUCUGUCGUGAAAGCCCCGGGCUCAACCUGGGAAUUGCGAUGGAGACUGCAAGGCUUGAAUCUGGCAGAGGGGGGUAGAAUUCCACGUGUAGCAGUGAAAUGCGUAGAGAUGUGGAGGAACACCGGAUGGCGAAGGCAGCCCCCUGGGUCAAGAUUGACGCUCAUGCACGAAAGCGUGGGGAGCAAACAGG
rnacentral:rRNA from 1 species